rnacentral:rRNA from 1 species
GGGCCGUGCCGGCGUCGCAGUCUCCGCACGACCCGACGCACUUCCUCCCGCCCUAAGGACGCCGUAGCCGGUUGGGUAGCUGCGCGAGUCGGCCAUAAGGACGGGCACCGGAAGGUGGCCAGUGGCGUUCCCCCGUGUUCGUCGCUGGUCGUUAUCCAGCCCGCCCGUGGCACGACACCCGACCGAGGUCGCAGGUCCCGGUUAGGACCUCGCCGUCCCCUCCCCUCUGGUCGAGCAGGAACGCCAGCAGGCGCCUCCCCGUUCGGUGGUUCCACUCUCCGAGUGGACCGUUGUCCGGGGACGCCGUUGGCGCGGACGUUUCCUGCGUGGGGUUUUUUUUUCCGGCGGCUUACGGCGAGUAGGUCGGUCACCCACCCGACCCGUCUUGAAACACGGACCAAGGAGUCUAACAUGUGCGCGAGUCAUUGGGUCUUGUUCAGGCCCAGAGGCGCAAUGAAAGUGAAGGCCGUCCUCGACGUCGGCCGAGUUGGGACUCUCC